rnacentral:rRNA from 1 species
CAGCCGCCGCGGUAAUACGAAGGGGGCUAGCGUUGCUCGGAAUUACUGGGCGUAAAGGGCGCGUAGGCGGACAGUUCAGUCGGGGGUGAAAGCCCGGGGCUCAACCUCGGAAUUGCCUUCGAUACUGGCUGUCUUGAGUAUGAGAGAGGUGUGUGGAACUCCGAGUGUAGAGGUGAAAUUCGUAGAUAUUCGGAAGAACACCAGUGGCGAAGGCGACACACUGGCUCAUUACUGACGCUGAGGCGCGAAAGCGUGGGGAGCAAACAGGAUUAGAGACCCGCGUAGUCCCUGUCUCUUAUAC